rnacentral:misc_RNA from 1 species
GAACGCACCUUGCGCUCCUUGGUAUUCCGAGGAGCAUGCCUGUUUGAGUGUCAUUUAAUUCUCAACCUUAUUAGCUUUUGCUGAUAAUGGCUUGGAUGUGGGGGUUCUCUUUUGCUGGCUUCUUUUCACAGAGGUCAGCUCCCCUGAAAUGCAUUAGCUGGUGCCCCGCGUGGACUGUCUAUUUGGUGUGAUAAUUAUCAACGCCGUGGAUGUCUGCAAUUGGCUUUGGCACUGCUUCUAACUGUCUGUUCAUUUGGACAACACAUGACAAUUUGACCUCAAAUCAGGUAGGACUACCCGCUGAACUUA